GAUCACUGGGCUCGUAUAUUCUAGUGUAGUUGAUAUCAAUAUGCAUGGAAGACAUUUUAAUGGGGGAGGGAUAUAGUGGCAUAAAUCUAUAUUUGGAUAUAUGAGAUUAGCAAUUUUCUUAUUGAUACAGAUCAAGAUCAACCGCCGGAUACAGUACUCCAACAUCAUAACUCAUCAGAGUAUAUAGUCAAGGUGUCAUUUGCUCUUUCCGAUAACUUUUUAAUGAUACCACAUUCCCAGAAGUUGUGGAAAAAGGUUGCCGAAGAGUGAAAGCAUUUCAUACAACUUCCAGUCUCUUCCUCUACGAAAUGUCGUCUCUGUGCCUGGGAGAUAUAUGCCCUGUACACAGUUUUAACAUGAAUCUCUUGUAAAGAGGAUGUCUUCAGUAUUUGUAAUGUUUUAUCAUAAUGUUGGAAUAUGUAUUCCGAAUUUGUAAUGCUUGGAAUAAAUCUACACCAAGAA